rnacentral:rRNA from 1 species
GACGAACGCUGGCGGCGUGCUUAACACAUGCAAGUCGAACGGAAAGGCCCUGCUUUUGUGGGGUGCUCGAGUGGCGAACGGGUGAGUAACACGUGAGUAACCUGCCCUUGACUUUGGGAUAACUUCAGGAAACUGGGGCUAAUACCGGAUAGGAGCUCCUGCUGCAUGGUGGGGGUUGGAAAGUUUCGGCGGUUGGGGAUGGACUCGCGGCUUAUCAGCUUGUUGGUGGGGUAGUGGCUUACCAAGGCUUUGACGGGUAGCCGGCCUGAGAGGGUGACCGGCCACAUUGGGACUGAGAUACGGCCCAGAGUCGUACGGGAGGCAGCAGUGGGGAAUAUUGCACAAUGGGCGGAAGCCGGAUGCAGCAACGCCGCGUGCGGGAUGACGGCCUUCGGGUUGUAAACCGCUUUCGCCUGUGACGAAGCGUGAGUGACGGUAAUGGGUAAAGAAGCACCGGCUAACUACGUG